rnacentral:rRNA from 1 species
AACGAACGCUGGCGGCAGGCCUAACACAUGCAAGUCGAGCGCCCAGCAAUGGGAGCGGCGGACGGGUGAGUAACGCGUGGGAAUUUUUCCUUGGAGUACGGAACAACCGAGGGAAACGUUACGGCUAAUACCGUAUGAUGCCGAGAGGCCAAAGAUUUAUCGCUCUGGGGUGGAGCCCGCGUCAGAUUAGGUAGGUUGGUGGGGUAAGUGGCCUACCAAGCCUGCGAUCUGUAGCNGGUCUGAGAGGACGAUCAGCCACCACUGGGACUGAGACACGGCCCAGACUCCUACGGGAGGCAGCAGUGGGGAAUAUUGGACAAUGGACGCAAGCCUGAUCCAGCCAUGCCGCGUGGGUGAAGAAGGCCUUA